ACACUGUACGGGUAGAUCGCAUGCGAUGUAAAGCCAAAGCUCACGAUUGUUGUGCGCUCACUGUACGGUCCGAUCGUCGAGUUGCGAUUUGACUGCGCACACUAUACGAUCGUGGAUGUAUCUCCCUAUUAGUCGUGCAGCCCUAGUUUUGUCUUAGUCUCGCUAUCUCUUAAUCAGCAUCAGGUGUGGGGUAACCAGGCGAGCUGAUUGUUAAUGGGGAGCACCUGCAGACAGUGUGUUUCUUUCCUAUAUAAACUGAGUGUUCCAUUGCUGGGCUGUGUGAUGGGAGAUAGGUGUUUGUGAGGUAGUUAUUUUAGUCACCGAUGCUCUCGUGCAGAUUCUCGUUGCUGGGGUGGUCUAUAAAUGUGUAUGUGUUUCUGCUAA